rnacentral:rRNA from 1 species
UAUGUGAUCGUCUCUCGCAUAUCAAUAAGCGGAGGAAAAGAAACUAACAAGGAUUCCCCUAGUAACGGCGAGUGAAGCGGGAAGAGCUCAAAUUUGAAAUCUUAAAGGGUUUCCCUUUACGAAUUGUAGUUUAAAGAAGUGUUUUCUGUUGAGGUUUUGGUAAAAGUUCUUUGGAAUAGGACAUCAUAGAGGGUGAGAAUCCCGUAUUUGACCUUUACUUUCAACUUUGUGAUACACUUUCAAAGAGUCGGAUUGUUUGGGAAUGCAGUCCAAAAUGGGUGGUAAAUUUCAUCUAAAGCUAAAUAUUGGCGAGAGACCGAUAGCGAACAAGUACCGUGAGGGAAAGAUGAAAAGAACUUUGAAAAGAGAGUUAAACAGUACGUGAAAUUGUCAAAAGGGAAGCGUUUGACACCAGUGUUGUUUUUCUGAAAAUCAAUUAAAGAACUGUUUAUGCUAAGUUGUUUAGACCUUAUCAGCUAACUGUUUAAUUUUGAGCUUUUCUUUAAUGCACUUUUCAGUUAACAAGUCAACAUCAAUUUCUUUUGCUGUAAAAAAGCUUGAGGAAGGUGGCUUGAGAUUCGUCUUAAGUGUUUAUAGCCUCUUGCCUAUGCAGUCGGAGAGAUUGAGGUCUGCAGCGUAGAUCCUUCGGGGCUAAAUGCAUUUGUGCUAAGUUAUAGCAUUUUAUAGACAACUUGUUGACUAUGAUUUGUCUUGUAGCAUACUCGCUUAUGUUAUUUUACCUACGCUUAGGAUGUUGAGUAGCGACAUACGCAC